rnacentral:rRNA from 1 species
GGCUGACCGCUAGCUACAGGCUUACCACAUGCAAGUCGCGGGGCAGCCUGGGGGUUGCUUGCAACCCCUGAUGGCGACCGGCGCACGGGUGAGUAACGCGUAUCCAACCUGCCCUUCACCACGGGAUAACCCGGCGAAAGUCGGACUAAUACCGUAUGUUGUCCAUUGACGGCAUCCGAUUUGGACGAAAGGCUUGGCGGGGAAAGGAUGGGGAUGCGUCCGAUUAGCUUGACGGCGGGGUAACGGCCCACCGUGGCUACGAUCGGUAGGGGUUCUGAGAGGAAGGUCCCCCACACUGGAACGGAGACACGGUCCAGACUCCUACGGGAGGCAGCAGUGAGGAAGAGUGGUCAAUGGGCGUAAGCCUGAACCAGCCAAGUAGCGUGCAGGAGGACGGCCCUAGGGGUGGUAAACUGCUUUUAUGCGGGGAUAAAGUGGCCCACGGGUGGGCUUUUGCAGGUACCGCAUGAAUAAGGACCGGCUAAUUCCGUG